ACAACUUAUGCUCACGACAACACACUUUCGGCGCUGCACGGUAGUGUCAGAUCCAGUAGCGCGCACAGUCCACAACAGCACACAUGAAAAGCGGCAGCUCGAGUUAUCACUAUCAACUUUCGGCGCUGCCUGUUUACAUAAAGUGAAUCACGCCCACGCGUGAUCGUCUUGUCACAUCUAAUGAAUAAUGUAUCUCAUUGAGUUCACAUAUAUUGCAGUGAAAACGACGCUAUAUAAUUGACAAUCUGAAGGCAACCUCUUCAUAUCUUCUUUCCCACUAGCACACAACACACGAAAAUGGAAGCCUAUUCAUUGGUAAUACGUAAUCUAGAUUUGAGAUUAUGUAGAACAUUCUUCACUACAAUUUUACAUUUUGGCAGCAAACCAAAUAUGAUCAAAUGCAAUUUUACCUUACCAAAUAUUUGGUCGUGAAGAAAAAUUUGGCACUAACAAUCCAAAUAUGCCCUAAAAAUUAAUAAAAUAUUUGUACGGUAACAAAAUAUUUGUACGGUAACAAUCCAAAUAUGCCCUAAAAAAUAAUAAAAUUGUAUUUUACCAGUCUUGGAGAUUUUAAUCUUGUAUAGUUUUCAAUAUAAAAAGAUUUGAUAACUAUUGAUAUUUAUAAAAAAUAUAGAGCACAGUACAAAAUCGCCCUUGCGGAGGGCGGCAAGGGGGCCGCCUGCAAAAUUCCAUGCCCCCUCGCCGCCCAUUUGCAGGCGGCCCCCCGCACAGUACAAAAUCGCCCUCGCCGAGGGCGGCAAGGGGGCCGCCUGCAAAAUUCCAUGCCCCCCCUCGCCGCCCAUUUGCAGGCGGCCCCCCGCACAGUACAAAAUCGCCCUCGCGGAGGGCGGCAAGGGGGCCGCCUGCAAAUUUCGUUGACGGCCGUCGCCCGAGAGCGAACGGCCGUCUGCCACGUCAUUUUCGCCGCCCUCUGGGAGGGCGAUUUUUAAAAAUCGCCUUCCCAAAGGGCGGUAGGCGACUACUUCCGUCAAUUUUCAAAAUAGAAAAUUAUUUUUGUAAAACUUUUAAUAAAAAAAAUUAAAAAUAAAAAAAAUUCCCGCUGCACGCCUGCAACUGCAACGGCAACCGUGCGUGCUCCCAUCCACCCAUGACAGCGUGCGUACGUGCUCGUCUCACACCGAACAACUCUCCAUGUACUAUGCGACUACCGUUCGAGUAAACCCCCCUCGUCCUACUUACAUGCGCGAGGCCGUUGCGAAUCAAUCAACACUGGCGUCAAUCAACACCAAACAAUUCGUUCGAUUUCUUAGUUUAGUUUAGUUUCUCGCUUAAUACUCUAUUCUAAAGCACAAGGGAAGCAGCCAGGAAAUGGAUUAGUGAUGACCAAACGGACAAUCAACAGUAACGCUGUUGGCUGCUGACGACUAUUUUAGUUGACAUGUCCAUACAUAAAUACACAUAAUCCAGAGAGAUGGCCAGCUCCGUGACCAGCAAAGAGACAAGGCUGGGGUCUGAUAAAAGAAGCCCUACCUGAGCUUGACCUCCCUGUCUCGAGCCCCCCAUACUGCAUACCUCAUGCCAUACUCUAAUCAGUAUAAUCCAGGCAUUAAUGAGAUGCAUCAGCUUUAUAAUACAAAGCUAAUGACAUGCCAAUACAUGCUGCCAACCUUGCAUUCCUCCAGCCUACAUAUGUGUCCAUCGAAAGAUACACCAUUUUGGAAUUGCCUUCUCUCUGCAUUUAGGCACGCACCAAAUCCUUGUAGCCAUGGGCCAUCACUCACCUGCCCUGCUUCAUGUUAGCUCAGAUUUCAGCCUCUCAGGACCAUUUCUUGUGAUGCAUAUAUACUAACUUGUUGUCUCAUAUAGCACUAGUUACAUGUUCAUGGAUCAUAUGUAAUAAACUGCCAUCAUCAAGGAUCAGCCUGUAUAUGCUCAUCUCUAUCAAUGCUAGAAGUCUACGAUUACUAACAAAAUUAGCACUGCAACACUCACUGACAGACAACAUCAAAUCAAGCUCCUACUAUCUGACGACACCAUGCUGUCCAUGCAGCUAGGAUGGAGGAGAUAAGCCAACAUUCAGACACCAUCACCAUGCGUGAUGCCGUGAUGAGAAGAAAAGUUUGAGCAGCUAGCUAGCAUGGGUCAUCAGAUCAUGCUGUUAGAGCAGACAGCAUUGGUCAAUAGUCAGAAUUUUGGGUGUUUUCUUGGGUGUUGGGUCCUCAUGACCUUCACCUUUGUCAGAUUUAGCAGGGAUCUAAUGAGCAAAAAAUUAGUAACAAAGAAGCCUACAGCAAGUAGCCAAAUGUUGCUGUCCCCUCUGCCCCUACCUAAUAAGCACAACUACUGUACACUCCAAACAUCUGCUCACUCACAUGCAUGUGACGUUUAUGGUCCACAAACUACACAUGAUUAUGGCAAUAGUGCCCUAUGUCUCGGCAUGUUUUGCAUAAUGGAGUAUGGAUCUCAAUCAUGCUAAUGGCUAGCUUAGCCUUUUGUGAACUAACCUCCUUGCAAGUAGUAUUAUUCAGGAUGGGGCCUGGUUUGCAAAUAUGUUAGAGUGCAGACACCAUGGCCCAUUUCUGUCGCUGCAACCUUCGCCAAUUUAUAUAUAAACCUCGAGGAGACAUGUAGAGGGAGCAUUCGCUUCAUCAGUUCAUCUUCUCUCCAUCUCCAUUUCCAGUAGUUAGUUGUCACCAGUCAUCAGCACAACCAUGGUUAUUGAUCAGAAGCUACUCUGCUUAGUGUUUGUCUCAGGAGUACUCGUCCUAGCAAAUCUUGCAGAUGUCUCUUCUGCUGCUGCUUCUUCACUGAGCAGGCAGCAAGAUCAAGUGGCUCGAGUUCUUGGUCGCAGAGGCAGAGAACUGAUAGGAGAAGGCUUGUCAGGACACCAAUACCGGCAUGAAGGCAAGCACAAGGAGCAACAUGAGGUGAGUUCAUUAUUCAUAUGUUCAUAAAAUGCAAAACUGAAUUUUUAUGUGUUUUCUUGUGCCUGCCUCUGCUGCAUAAUCUUUUUUUAAUGUCAGUGAAUAGCACAUUGUGCACUACCAUCUUCAGCUAGAAAUGCAGAUGAAAAACAAGAAAUAAUUGUCAAGCUCAUGGUGUGUCCAUGUCCAGGUAGUGGCUAUGGAGGCGACGACGAAGGAGACUGCAGAGACGAAGGCAGGUUGGGUGGAUGAUGAUGAGGGCGCAAGAGAAGGGCUGAUCGACAGCGCUGAUUACAGCGGGGUGGCGAUGCACUCUCCGUCUCCACCCAAACGCAAGCACCCAAAGAAACCAUAGGCUGUCAGCUUCUCUGUUUGUCCGUGUAUAAUCUUCUUGUCUAGCUUAGUUAGUAGGAGUACUACUAGUACUAAGUACUCUCUUGGACUGUUAAUUUCGUCAUGAAAUUACAUGUACCCUUCUUCGCAAGAGAUCGAUCGAUGUUCUGCUGCUGCUUCUUCUGUAUGUGUUGCCAUUGCUCUGUUCAUGCAUUGCUGUUAGCUAGCUGCAGAGAUGACACAGCCAGGGUUUAAGUUUUCGACGAAAACCAACCAAAAACCGCAAAAUUUAGAUGUUUUGACGAGGGAUGAAACUAAGGGUGCAAGUGGCUACCCGCGAAAACCUAUUUAUAGGCUAAACUAACCCGCGAACUCACUUAUUUUGACCUAUAAAUGGGUUCGUGGGUGACCCACUUGCACCCCUAGAUGAAAGAAGAUUAUGAGUGAAAUUUCGAAUGGUUUUCUAGAAUUCAAAUUUGAAACAGUAAAAUUCAACCAAAAUUUGAUCGAAAUUUGGUGAAAAAUGUCAUUCCGCUACGGAUUCAGGUCAGGCACUCGAUCAGAAAGGUGAACCCUGACCACAGCUGAGAACUAACACCAGUCCAUGAUGGUCGAGUGUCAACUGUCAAAUUAUAUUCUCCAAGUCUCCAAUAGUGACGUUUUCAUCGCAACUACAGGUUUAGCCCGGGAUAAAAAACAAGGAAACAUUUUUAUUUCGAGGGAAGGACGCAGGACUGAAGAAACUUAAAAGUGUCCCUGAUGUGUUUCAUCAUCCGUUCUGUCACUCACAAAUGGACUCAAAAUACAGACCCAGAUCAAGUGUGGUGUUCAACCAAAAUGUUAACUGGCGAAUGGAAGGUGGCGUGGUUUUCUAGAAACUGCAGAUUUGUACAGACCAAUCCCCAGACAGAAGAAAUACAAGAUCAAGACUGGUGGGCAGCAAACAAAUUUUGCUGGGAUUUAUUUGCCCCGAUUCAUCGUCCAAGUUCUUCAUACCUUCAGGGCCAACUUCUUAGCAGCAAGAACCUCCGCUUCGAGGGUUGGCUCCCAAAGAAUUGUGGUUUCAGCCAAUAGCGCUGUCACGACGUACGGGUCCAUGUUUGAUGCCGGGCGACGGUCUUCCAAGUAGCCUAUCAGCAAGGAGAUUUAGCAUUGUAAGGGCAAGUUAAUAAGAUUGAGUUGAAAAAUGCAAAUACUAAGUUGCACAUUUGUGAAUUGUGAAAACAACAUUACAAGACAUGCAUUUGCUGAUGUUGUGUUCUUUCAUAGUUUCAGAAAAAAAAAUGUUUGUAUUUUCAACUCAAACCUGAAAUAUUUGGAGCGUAACAACGAAGUAUUGAAUUACGGAAGUACAAAUGAGCAAUAGGGGCAGUUACUACAUGAUGUGCUUAUUUGCUAUAAAAACUAUGUUACUCUGGUUUUGGAGGGCUCAAUUGGUUGCUUAAUAUACCAGUGGAUGUUAGUGUUUUCUGAAUCCCAAACACAACAAUUUCAGGGGACAUGGAAGAACAUAUACCUUUUCCCUUCGCCUCGGUGUCUCGCCCCACCCGAAUAGAGCAUCCACGGUUUGCCACACCCUUUAAUGAAAUGUUUCGUUAGUAUAGCUUAAAAAUAGAAAUUAAAACAUAAAGAUAUAAAAAGGCCGCUGAAACCAUACCCAUGAGAAAUUGUCAAUGCUAGCUGUCUCGUGUAAACCUGUCAACCUCCUUUCAUUUCCUUCACCAUAUGCACUUAUAUGCAAGUCAUGGCGAAGUGAUAGGUUUAGGAUUGCCUUCUUGAUCACCUCAAAUCCUCCAUCUUCACGCAUACUCUUGGUGCUACAUUUGCAAGACAAUCAGUAUAUUUCAAUUGUUUGAGAAACAAAGAACAUUCAUUCAGUCAAUCGAAGUGAAUACAGGCUUAUUCUGGAUUUGUAUUCAAUAACAACUAGUAUGGUGGCCCGCGCAAACUGCGCGGCUAGCUACCAAUAUUCCUUAUUUCUAUUCCAAAUUUUCAUUUUUUUUUCUAAAUUGUAUUUUUAUAUAGAUUGUAAACUCUUAUUUCAAUAUUUUUUAUUUUUUAUUUUUAUAAAUUAAGGUUAUAAAUUGUAUUUCAAUAUAGACUCAAACUUCUACUUAUAUUUUCUUUUUUUAAUUCCAAAGUUUAGUUAGUUCUAAAUUGUAUACUGAUAUGGAGUUUUUUCUUUCAAUAUUCCUUUUUUUAAUUUCGAAUUUAAGCUAUUUAAAAUUGUAUUUCUAUAUGGACUCUAUUAUUAUUUUUCUCUGAUUCCGUAUUUCAAUUAGUUAUAAAUUGUACACCAGUAUGAACUCUAGCCUUCUCUUCCAAUAUUCAUUAUUUUUUAAUUAUCUAUGUAAAUUGUUUUUCUAUAUGGACUUCGAUUAAUAUGAGAAUUUCUAGGCCAUGAGAGCAAACGCGGAGUCCAAUUUUCUUAGGCUGUGUUUAGAUCCAGGGGUGAAAAUUUUUGCCAUGUCACAUCGGAUAUACUGACAUACAUUUGAAGUAUUAAACGUAGUCUAAUAACAAAACAAAUUACAGAAUCCGCCUGUAAAAUGCGAGACGAAUUUAUUAAGCCUAAAUAAUCCGUCAUUAGCAAAUGUUUACUCUAGCACCACAUUGUCAAAUCAUGUAGCAAUUAGGCUUAAAAGAUUCGUCUCGCAAAUUAGUCGCAAUCUGUGCAAUUAGUUAUUUUUUCGCCUAUAUUUAAUACUUCAUAAUAUACUUCAUACAGGUGUUAAAACGUUCGAUGUGACAGAGUGAAAUAACUUGUCAGCGGAUCUAAACAUGCCCUUAUUACUUAAAUAAGUUAAUGCAUUAGUUCUUAAUCCAAUUGGUUAAAUUAGAAAUAAACUUUGUGCAUGUGGUUUGUUUGAUCGUUUCCAUCUCAAGUUUUUUUUACUCCGAUUCCUAUAGUUACUUUAAGCUUCCGUAAAAAAAAGAUUUAUAUUAGUUGUAUAACCAUUAUGGCCGUGUUUAGUUGUUUAGGUGUAAAAAUUUUGAAGUAUACGGACACACAUUUGAAGUACUAAACGUAGACUAAUAACAAAACAAAUUACUGAAUCCGCCUGUAAACUGCGAGACGAAUUUAUUAAGCCUUAUUAAUCUGUCAUUAGCAAAUGUUUACUAUAGCAUCACAUUAUCAAAUCAUGGCAUAAUUAGGCUCAAAAGAUUCGUCUCGCAAUUGACAUGCAAACUGUGCAAUUGGUUUUUUUCGUCCAUAUAUAAUGCUCCAUACAUGUGUCCAAACAUUUGAUGUAACGUUUUUCGCCAAAAUUUUUUGGAAUCUAAACACACCCUAUAUUAAAUCUAAACUGUUAUAAUCUGGAUCUACUAUGACUCAAUGGUUAUUUUUUUUCUCUUUUUCUUGAUUAACAUUGGAAUUUCUAUUUUUCUUGUCUGUUUUCACUUUUUCUAUCUUUCUUGUCCGUUUCUAUUUUUUCUUUUUUGUCCGUUUCCAACUUUUUUUUUGUCUGUUUACACCACACCCAAUCUUUGUUUUUUUGUCCAUUUACACAAAACCUAAUCCUAAUACCCUUCUAUUUUUCCUUUUUUCUUGUGCAUGUGGUUUGUUUGGUCAUUUCCAUCUCAAGCUUUUUUUACUUCGAUUCCUAUAGUUACUUUAAGCUUCCGUAAAAAAAGAUUUAUAUUAGUUAUAUAACUAUUAUGGCCGUGUUUAGUUGUUUAGGUGUAAAAAUUUUGAAGUAUAUGAACACACAUUUGAAGGAAUUAAACGUAGUCCAAUAAUAAAACAAAUUACAGAUGCUGCCAGGAAACUACGAGACGAAUUUAUUAAGCCUAAUUAAUCUGUUAUUAGCAAAUGUUUACUGUAGCAUCAUAUUGUAAAAUCAUGGCGUAAUUAGGCUCAAAAGAUUCGUCUCGCAAUUUGCAUGCAAACUGUGCAAUUGGUUUUUUUUUCGUUCACAUUUAUUGCUCCAUACAUGUGUCCAAACAUUUGAUGUGAUGUUUUUAGAAAAAAAAUUGGAAUCCAAACACACCCUAUAUUAAAUCUAAACUGUUAUAAUCUGGAUCUACUAUGACCCAAUGGUUAUUUUUUUUCUCUUUUUCUUGAUUAACAUUGGAAUUUCUUUUUUUUUGUCCCUUUUCACUUUUUUCUCUCUUUCUUGUCCGAUUGGAUUUUUUUUUGUCCGUUUCCAACUUUUUUUUUCCGUUUCCAACUUUUUUUGUCCGUUUACUCUUUGUUUUUUUUUCCGUUAACACAAAACCUAAUCCUAAUACCCUUCUAUUUUUCUUUUUUUCUUAUUUUCUUUCGAUUAACGGGGGAUUUUCUAGACCGUGAGAGCAAACGUGGAGGCUUCUUUUUCUAUUACUUUAUAGAUAUAAUAGAUUUAACACCUACGAACACUUGAUAUUCGGUCCGUAUUUGGAUUGGUAUUUUAGGUCUUACACAUAUGUUUUCUUUCCUAUCAAAUUCCCAAGGAAUUUAUUUUUGUCUCUGAAUAGGCAUUAGUUCGGUCAACAAAGUUGUUCUCUCAAAGGAAAAAUGUCAGCAAAGCUGUGUUAAGUGUUCUAAGCUUUGUUCUUAUGCUGCAGGAUACUUUAACAUCAGAAGAAGAUAAUGAAACCUGUAGUUUGUGUGGCACCCAGCUCCAUUCCAGUCUCCCUGUCAGUACAUUAUAUAUGUUCAGUCUCCUUUAACGUUUGAUUCGCUUUAAAGUUGGGGACAAUUUACUAGGACAUACCUGAAUUGGUUUGGGGUCAAGGGUAAGCACUACACCAGCCUGCUCCGUUAUUCUCUGAUUACAGUGAGCAAACGAUAAUUAGAAGUGCUUUUACUGAUGCAGAAAUUGAUAUAAGCAAAAGUAUAGCCAUUCAUAGGAUGCAACAUUCUGAUGUUUUGAACAAAACAAAGAUGAUGGCUUUCAACAAGCGAUUUGUAAGAAUGUCAAGGUGGAUCACAAAAUGUGCACAUGUAAACGUCUUGGCAAUAAUAUGCAUGCAGCUUGAUUUUUAAACCAUGGUUUGAAAAUUAAGAGAGAAAACCAAAAUUUCAUUAUGUAGGGAAAUAUUUUAUUAUUAUUAUUUGAACCAAAAUUUCAUUAUGUAGGGAAAUAUUUUAUUAUUAUUUGAAAUACCUCAAGAAUAUAUCUUGAAAUCCAUAUGUGGUCUCCAGCUUCAAUACCGACACUAGGUCCAACCUGGUACUCCCACUGCAUGAAUAAGGAUUGUGAAGUUUCACUUGUUAAACACUAGGAUUUGUUCUUCAUAGAAGUUAAAACAUAUCCACUGAUUCAGAAAACUAAUUGACAAAUAACAACACACAUACCUGACCAGGCAUGACCUCUCCAUUUGUUCCACUAAUGUUAAUUCCAGCAUAAAGACAUGCCUUGUAGUGAGCAUCUGAUAUGUCACGGCCAAACGAUUUGUCCGAUCCUACAGCGCAGUAGUAUGGACCCUGUAAUAUCCAGCAUGAUAGUGUUUUAUUAAGCAUACACAACACAUGGACUUAAACCAUCCUUAUCUUUAUUAUUAUCUGAUCAACAAAGCUCCAUUCUUGUUCAGUAUAAUACCUGGGGCCCAGGGUAGCCUCCAACGGGCCAGCCAAGAGGCCAGUUUACGUCUCUCUGGAGCAAAGUGUACUCCUGUUCUAUUCCAAACCUAGAAAAAUAGUGCAUAGAAAAUGUCUCAACUUCACAUGUAAACAAAAGUAGAUGGAAAAACCAUGUUUUCUAUUGUAAUUUAUAGCACAAAAGUGCUUGAUGUUUAGUUACCAUGGCACUUGGCUGACAACCUUUGGAUCACUGAAUACUUGUGCAGCCCUGUUACGUUUGUUAGUAGGGAUGGGUUCCCCAGCUGGUGUGUAGGUAUCACACAUAACCUGAAACAACAGAUUUUGUAUCAGCUAGCAUGCGAUUUUUCACAUGCGCCACUAACCAUUGCACAGCUAAUCUUUUAUGUGCAGGUUAGUAUGAAAAGCACAUUUGAAAAGGAUAAAACAUUAAGGAGAAGGGAUGGUACCAAUAUGUUGUUGCCACCUCGAAAUGGGUCCUUGAAUAUAGCCUGUGGGCUGAAAUCAGGGGGGACAGCGCAAGAGAAGAGACAGAAUUAGAAAUCUAGAAUGCUUUACUGAAGAAUCACAUGUACUGCAAUAUUUUUUCUUACUAUAAGAUGACUUCACUAUCUUCUCCUGGAGCUUGCCCUGUGCUUGAUCCAUCGUAGUUCCAUUUUGGUAGCUCCGAGGGGUCCUCCACUGGUUUUGAUAUUGUCUGAAAUACAGGCAUUCGAUUUUUCUUUCAAGGGCCAAAGAGGUAGAAAGUAAAUAACGAAAGGAGGCGCUGUGUACACUGCUAAUCCCCUAAAAACGCAACUUCUCUUCCUAAAGACAGCACUGGUAUCUUUAUCCAAGAACAAGAACAUUUGUGAUAAUGAUGAUACCAAGUGCAUACCCUUGAUUUGCUUCUGAGGUCAAUUCCAGUUCCUCCAACCCUGCAGAAUGUGGCAAAAAGGAUUGCAGAUUCGUUAAUAUAUUGCUGCUUUCACCAGGAAAACGCAUCGGGGAUUCGCACUCCUGAAGUAUUAUUAUUCAAGUGUGGGAACUGAAAAGCAGCUAGUGUGAGUCACCACCAGCCACCACCAUGCUUGAGAAACUUUUAUCUAUUUUAAGGCAAAACUUGUACUCUACUAAUGUUUGCUCACAGCUAAUCCUAUGAUUCAUAUCUCAACCAUCCAAUUCCCUAAUCGAACGGUGCAGUGCAAAACCUACAAACUGUAGCAGUAGUACUAAAUUGGUGCUAGUAAAAAGUGCGGAUUUGGCUUAUCUGAAAUCUGAAAGUCUGAAACUGCUGCUACUGCUACUGUUGUGUGGGUCAAACCAAGAACAGAAGCGUCACUGUGAGAUGCAGCAUUUGCAGUACCAGAUGUACUCGGCGAUGAUCUUGUCGGUGAAGGGGGUGGUGUCCAUGUUGAGCAGCUGCUCCAUCCGCGUCACCACCCCGGUGGUCUCCGUGCUCACGGCCAUCACCCUGAACCCCGACGUGCCGCGCCCGGUCCUCCUGACUCCCCACACCCUCCCCCCCGCCGCCGCCGCAGCCGCCGCCGGCCUCGCCCGCACGGCCCCGACCUGGCACUGCAUCGCCGGCACCACCGCCUGCGCCAUUUUCACCCCCUACAGAUAAUCACCAACUCACUCAACCUGCAUCAAACAAACAACAUUGUCAUCAGCAAAAACGAGACGAAACCGAGCACGAAAACACAAAAUGCAGGCAUUGCACGGACUCACCGGAAUGCAGCGACGAGGAGGAGGAGGAGAGGAGGCGACGUCGAUGGAAUUUUUAAUGCGAGGAGGUGCAUAAAUAUUUUUAGUGGCGGGCGGGAACAGCAGCAUCUUGGCUUUUGCUGAGGGGAUAGGGCUCCCCGCGGUUUGGGUGGACGAGAUUUCUGGCCCUUGCGACCAUCGGAGGCAACCAGCACACAAUCCAAGCGUCCCCAGGAUAAAAUUUUCCCCAAAAUUUUUUCUUCUUCGAUUUAUCAAAUCUUUUCUCUUCUCCUGGAUAUGGAAGAUGCGGCUCUCCUUGUCACGUCUACCUCCGAUCGCAGCAGCGACCCAUUUAUUGUUGUUUAUGUGCAGCGUUCAUUGACCUGCAAAUUGUACAUUUAGUAUUUGUUUGUUAUUUAUAAUCUUGGGGGGGGGGGGGGGGGGAUGCAGCCAGAAAUUCAGAAAAUACAAGACUGUCACUGAGGUUAUGACUGACCCUCAGAUGGUGCAAUAAUUGGGGGAGGAGAUUAGCGGUUUAGAAACGUCAUCUCUUUGCAGGUGCAGCGCCAACGGGUUGAUUUGGGGUCCAGAGGUCAUAGAUUGGAUUCCAUCUGGUCGGUGGCAACAAAUUGUGUUUGUUUGCUUAUCAACUUGCAGUUUUGUAGCAGUAGAUCAGGUGGUCAUGUGAGAGUGUGAGACUUGAGCAGAGAGAUUCUGUGGAGCUUUGCAGCAUGAGCAAGUGAUUCAUUUUUUAUCAUUAGUCAUAUCAUGACAAUAGUGAACUCAAGUUGUAACUAAUCAGAACUGUAAGACCACAAGACAAAAGACCAUGAUAGUUGAGUUAAAAUCUAAUCAGAAUUGUGGAUGAUUGAGGUGGGGCAAAUGUUUCCAGACAGAUUUUCUAGUCAGGGAGAAAUGAUACACCUAGCUGAUCACUGAACUUUAUCUGUCAGGAGGGAAUUCUCCAAACUCCAGAAGUUAAAUUUCAUGCUUCCUGUGCAAUGCUAGCAUUCCCCUCGUGUACUGAUUCCUAGUCGUUCUAUACAUCUGAAGCAACAUUUCAAAGCUCUCACACGCGUCUUCGUACGCUACGCACCUACAAAAUUUCAACUUGAAGUCUGUAAAUUCAGUUAAGGAUUGCUCAAGGUUGCAGCUGACUGCCUCAAGAAGCUCUUCAAGGGCUCCCAAAAUGUUGCAGAAAUCGACUUGGUCAUUUGUGCCUCCGUGUUGCGGCAGAUGCCGGAGCCAACACAUCCAUUGGAAGGGCUCAUCGUUUUUCUCUCUCACUGCGAGCCCAAUGCACAUCAAUGCCUCCUUGAAGUUGCAGCUCCUGUCGAUUUUCUUAAUUAUCUCAUCAAAAAAUGAUCUUUGGUUGCUUCUGAGAGCUUUCGAGUGAGUUGUCGUACAUGAACUAGAUGGUGGAAGCUUUGCUGCAACCAUGCAUGCCUUCCUGAAGGUUGCAUCAUUUUUCGAAAGCAGCCUGAUUGCCACAUGCAACAGGAGAGCAAAUAACGAAGUUCGUGCCUCCUCUUGGGACUUAACAAAUGGAGAGCUCCAGUGUUUCUCCGUCCAACAAUGAAGGGCAAUAUGCGUAAAUCCCUCCCACCUGCAACAACAGUAAUAGUGAGAUGCUGAAACACUAGACAUGGAACACUGAGAAUUUUACAUAGAUAUGAAGAGUACUUACUCGAAGGGUGGCUCAACCUCAAUAGCAAGGGUCAAAUGGAGUGAGCAAUCAACAGUUGAGUUCACUUCAAAUCCACCAACAUCAACAUCAGUGUGAGCCUCGUGAACAAAGCCUCUAGGAACAUACAUUAUGUCUCCUUCAAGCAAAAUUUCCAUCCUCCCACCACAAUCAUCCACCAAGUCAUCUAAAGGUUCAAAAGGUUCAUAUAGUCUAGGCAAAAGUAACUUUGUGUCAGGCCAAAUCAUCCAUUUCUUGCAUCCAAGCAGUUGCCAAACAAGUACACAGUGAUCAUCAUAAUGCCGGGCCAGGCCCUGAGCUCUUGGAGGGGAGAAAUAUAUAUUAGCUCCCACAGAAGGUUGACCGAAUAAAUCAGCUACAGCAGAAGCUAUAGCAGCAAUCUUUUCAGAACGGAACUCCAUACCACGCAAGGCAACUGAGAAACCAUUUUUAAAUGCAUCCUUACAUUUUUCAACGAAUGCAUCUGCAUCCUGGAAGGUCAUCCCAUCAUCAAAGAAAUGUUCCUCCAUCGCAUAACCUAUUGAGGUCUGAUCACAUUGGUCAUUUAUUCUUACAACUCUGAUAUCUUGCCUAUACUUCACAGUGGCACCCAAGGAACCUUGAACCUCACGGAGAAAUGAACUAAUGUCAAGUUCAUCUGAAGCAAUAGCGGGGCAAGAAACAAUCCCAUUUACAAGUGACUGGAUGAUAGUAUCAGGUGUUUUCAGAUCAAAUUCAUUAAGCAGUGAAGUGAAUACACUAUCCACAUGCAGAUUCUUCUGUUUCCUAGUGACCAAGUAAGUCGACUUCUCCCAGUAGUUUAGGAGAAAAUUUUCAUAGUCAGAUACCGAUUGUCCAAAAAUGCUUCGUCUGACUUCAUCAGGUUCCAGGUGGGCUGGACAGGCAAUAUUCAUUGAAAGCCUAAAAAUAGCUUCAGAUAUCUCAUGUUCUUUCCUUUGAAGUUGAUUCUUCGAGUUGAUGCAGUCAGUUGACGAUCCCAGUUUAUCAACAUUCUUCCAGAUUUUAUGCAACAAAGGCAGAACUUUUCUAACUACAUCCUGUUGCAGAUUAUGCAAGGUAUCAACUUGACAGGAAUUCACCAUGAAUACCAAUGUGUCAACCAUCAAGUAGAAGGAUUUAUUUGCUUUAGAAGCACUUUUUGAGCACUCAGUGCUUCUGAUAUCAAUGACUCCAGAAAUAAAUUCCACCUGAGAAAAUAGAUAUCUACAGGAAGUGAAUUCAACCAGUCGAAGAUAUUCAUCAUAUUUAAAAGGCCUGGCAAUGCUUCCCAUCUAGUUAUAAACUAUCAAGCCAUCUUCAUCAUAACAUAUUAACAUGCUACCAGAGGAAGUUUAUCAUAAUAACUGCAGACUUGCCAUUGAUCUAUACAUGGGCACAUUGGUUAAGUUGAUCUUGUGAACAUAAGAGUCAAGCGGUUCUUGACAUUUAGUAGUAUAUAUCAGUAUAGCACAAGCUACUAAAGCCGAAAUACAUAUUGAAUUUGAAAAAACAAUCAGAUCAAUCAGUAAAUAUGCUUACAAUAUGCUCUGCAGAACAGCAGAGCCCGCAAGAUGCUCCCUGCCAGCAGAAGAAGCAGAGAGAUCCAUUAUAGCAUUACAGGCAGCCUCUGCCACUCGCUGGCUCCCACGCCGCAGCGCCCGUGCCAAGCAAUCGGCAAUGGCGGCAUCGGACGCAAGCGUCUCGCUAGCCUCCAUGGACUGGAGCGCCGCUGCACCCAGCACCUCGCAGCUCAGCGCGGCCACAGAAGCAGAGCUGCAUUGCCAAUUUCUGCACAAGUUAAAGAGAAAAAAAAAGAAAAAAGAAAAAAAAAACAGAAGGGGGAGGAGGAUAGGAGAGGCUCUGUACUGUACCUGGAGGUGAGGAGGAGGGGGAGGAUCGCGACGAGGGAGGCCGGGAGAGGGUGAAGCGACGGGCGGGAGCGCGAGAGCGCGCGGCGGAGGAGGCGGGCGACGGUCGAGUCGGAGCCGUGUGGAGUCCGCCGGUGAGUGGAUCGUGCGGCGGCGGCGAGCAGGAUGGGGAAGACGCUCCGGUCGAAGGCGGCGGAGGCGCCACCGCCGCGCCUCUUCCGCUUCUUCAUCUCGACCUCGCGAAGUUCGAUUCGUGGCGGAGCUCCGGCGAGGCCGCCGCCGUGGAGAGGAGAGAAGGAGACGGACUCGCGAAUACGUGAGAUGAAUAUCCGUGUCUCCUAUAGCGGUUACGUAUUCUCAGAGGUGACUCAAGCAAAUUACGCUUUUCUUCCGAAGAACCUGCCUUUGUACUUUACGCCAACUGCAUUCUUGGAAAUGAAUUGAACAUAUUCCAAAGUGAAAUUUUAUGAUCAAUUUUACCAUAUAACAUUUGAUACCUUGAGGUACCAAAUUUUACACACAAAAUUUUUUGAUGCCUCAAGGUACCAGAUUUUACACACAAAAUUUUGAUACCUCGAGGUACCAAAUUUUACACCAGAGAGUAUCUCAAGAUACCAAAUGUUGGAUGGUAAAAUUGCUCUUAAAUUUUACUCCCUCCGUUCCAAAAAAAAGACAAACCCUGGGUUUCCGUGUCCAACAUUUGAUCGUCCGUCUUAUUUGAAAAAAUUAUAAAAAAAUUAAAAAGACAAGUCACGCAUAAAGUAUUAAUCAUGUUUUAUCAUCUAACAACAAUGAAAAUACUAAUUAUAAAAAAAUCAUAUAAGACGAACGGUCAAACGUUGAACACGGAAACCCAGGGUUUGUCUUUUUUUUUUGGACGGAGGGAGUACAUGAUGGAUGAUGUUAACACAACAAUAGCAAUUUGAAAAAAAAAAUACUUCAAGGUAUCUAAUUUUUACACCAAAAAAAAUACUUCGAGGUACCAAAAUUUACACUAUGUGUAGUAUCUCCCGGCAUUUUUUUUAAGAUGAUAAAAUUACCCUAUUCCAAAAGGCAACUAAUACUAAGAAAAUUAGUCUCAACAUGAUGGAUGAUGUUAACACAACAACGGCAAUUUGAUCUUUCAGAACCAAUUGGCAGAAAUCACUUAGUAGCAAGAGGGAAUACUGUAUGAUAUCGACUUUGAGCUUUAGCAAUCAUACUGUUAGGUUAGGUGAUGGAAUAGUUCGUGUUCUGCAUGCUCUGAUUUUAAACUCUUAUCUUUGUACCAAAAGUCCAACACGAUUAGCUCACCUAACGCAAAUCCGUAGGCGCCAAGAAAUUAAAACCCUUCUCUCCCUUUUGCUGUUUCCUGCUGAUACCAGUGCUAUAUAUAAGAAGGCUAAGCUCUGUUCAUUAAGCAGGGAGUAAUAAAUCACCCAUCCUGCUUAAUUACCAUCUAUUCAUCAUUAUCCUCUCCUCUCUUAUGUGCUAGGUUUAAUUUUGUGUUUUUUUUUCAUGUUUUGAGUCUGAGUUUAAUUUCUGGCUUGUAAGUAGAAUUUUCUUCUUUUCUUCGUAUGUUUUCAGAGUUUCAGUGGUUCGUUAAUUUGCUGAUUUAAGUUGGCGCUAUUUGUGAGCACGGCCAUGGAGGACAGUGAUGGAAACAACGAAGGCUCGCUCGCCGAACCUAAACAUGGCAUUUGCUCAUAUGCAUGCCCUUGAUGAUCACAAUCGUACUGUGCACUGAGUCCUCCAUGCUCUUAAAUUUGUGCUGUUUCGUUUUAGUUGCCUGUUUUAUCUGAUGGUUAGAUAAAAGAAGUCCAAAAAUUCAGACAUUCAGUGCUGUCUUCCGAGUUUUUCUCCCGACAGUGUUUCUCCGUCCUUUGUCUCGUUUUGUUUUUAGUGAGGAUUCUGUUGGGGCUCCUUGAUUUUUUUUUUCGGUUUUGCUAGUAUUUCACUUGCGACAGAUUUUUAUAUUUCUAUCUUUUACUUUUUCGUUCAUAGGAUCUUUAUAUUAAGAUUUGUGUUCUUGUAUAUCUAACUUGUAGUUAUACUCAUUUACAGUGCACUUAUACUCAGUUACAUAGCACUUGCAUCCUGUUACAAUUCACCAAAACUAGAUUUUUACAAUAGUUCUUUUCUCUAAAUUUAUGAUUUUUGACAUAUUUGUCUCUCUUUUUUGUUAUUUUAUUUAAAACUAGCUAUAUCCAUUAGUUGAAAAUUCUGUAAGAUUUGAAGACAUAAAUUUGUCGAAGUAUCAAUAGGUAGUCCUUUUUUCAGUUAUGGAUUAAAAACCAACGGCCUCUACAUCCUCCAGGUUGGGCCUCCUUGAUAUGCCUUGGAAUAAUAUCUAAAACUUAUGGUCACCUUAAUCUGUAGACUGUUCAGAAUCAGAAUGAACAGUUAGAAGGACCUCAAGUCAUCGACUAAACCAUUUGGCAAGGCAAGGCAAGGAUUCUGCCUUCAGGGGACAAGGAUUCUUCAGAAUUGUUCCAAAAAAAAAGUUGUAAAAGGAAAAGCAAGAAUUCUGACCAGCAACUGUUUACGACCAUCUUAACAAACCGAUGUGGCACAUUGUGAUUGAAUCUUGGAUCGAGGCUGGACUUCCCUUCAUCAGUUCAUCCAUUUUGUGGAAAUUUCAGAAUUCAGAUUCUGGAGUAAUGAUCGUGAUCCGUACGUUGUGAUGUGCAUGGAAACAGAUUUUGAAGGAACUACGUUGCUUCGAGAAAUUUUCACGAUCGCUGAGGCUAUGUUGGCUCUUGGCUCUGGUACGAGUGGACAAGCCCGGAAAAAUCUUGGAUAGGAACCCCGCCGCCCUCACCGAUUGUGCACUGUUCGUGGCCGCCAUCAAGGUAACAGUUGGAGAUGGACGAAAGGCAAAAUUUUGGGAAUCCAACUGGAUAGGAGAUCAGCCGUUGAAAUAUCUAGCCCCAAACCUUUUCAAGCACUCCAAAAGGAAGAACAAAUCGACUCUUGAGGCAAUAACCAAUAAUGCUUGGAUCGAAGAUAUCCGCGGAAGGUGACAAUACAGUUGCUUCAGGAAUAUAUAUGUGUAUGGGAAGUGCUCCACAAUGCAGGAGAUGUGAUCCAUGAAGGGGCUGAUGACACAAUCCUCCGGCGGUGGUCAGCCAGCGGCAUGUAUACGGCGAAAUCAGCAUAUGCCAUGCAGUUCAUGGGCAAAACGAUUUUCGGAAUCAGCCGAGCUUGUAUGGAAGACUUGGGCACCGGGUAAACACAAAUUCUUCGUGUGGUUGCUGGCAAAAAAUAGAAUAUGGACGACGGAUUGAUUGCAAUGCAGGGGCUGGCCAAAUAAUUACUUUUGCCAACUCUGUGUUCAGAAAUCUUGAAAUAGUACGGCACCUCUUCAUGGAGUGCCCCUUCACGCAGCAGGUAUGGCGGGACAUUGGUCGCAAGAUCAGGCUGUCACGUUUCCUCAAUAUGACCAUAGACGAUACUCUCCUCAAUUGGUGGCGCGAGCAAACAGAUGAGGCAGAAAAGUUGCAACAGAAAAGGCUGCGUUCAGUAUUCUUGGCCACGCUUUGGGAGAUUUGGAUAGAAAGAAACAAUUGCAUUUUUAGAGGCACUGAGUCUACGCCGCCGGCACUUGCUAGCAAGAUCAUAGAUGAGCUUCAUUUGUGGGAAAUGGCAGGCGCCAAGGGAGUGCAAUGUAUUAUGUUAAGAGAGUAGGCUUCUAUUUUUCUAAAGCGUGUAGACAGGAAUAGUCCCUUUUAUACAUUUUUGUUUUCUUACUUCUUCUAUAAUAUAAAACCAGCUCGCUAGGUUCUUUAAAAAAAAAAAGGAUUCUGAAGGAACUCGUGUAUUCUGCCAAGGCCCGGUAUGAGCUGACGACGUUGUUGUAUGCUUGAGAUUAUUUCUCUCAAAAACAUUAUAUAAGAUGCUAUUAUGCCCAAAUAUUUUCAUGGGCCUUGUCUCAAAAAUGCUCCAAUUUCCAGCAUCUGCUUAUACAUACGAACAAGUACAUUUUUUCUAUACUUUUUGCCCCAAACCGUUUCUGGAUCUGGGAACGUGUCCGUGUGCACACACUAUACAUAUCAACUAGUAAUAAAUAUCACCAAAGAUUUAAAAAAAAUAAAUAAACUGUACAUGCACUUUUAGUACUAUUAUCUAUUUAUAAGAUCUUGUAACGCCCUGCAAAUAAUUAGAGAAAAAAGAAAAAGAAAAAGAAGAGAAGAGAAGAAGGAAAAAGAGCAAAGCUAGCUAGCAGGCCAGCCCAUGCAGCCCAGUAGCUAGCUGGCCCAGCAGCAAAAGGCAGCCCACAGUAGCAUGCAAGCAGCAGCGCAGCAAGCAGAGCAGAGAGAGCAGAGCAGCAGCGAUGUACUGUAGCAAAAAAUAAUCCCACCUCGCCAAUUCAACCUGAGAGGGAGACCAGCUUAUAACGAUGAGCAGCCCGAAAUUUUUCGUUAAAGUGUGGUCCAACUGAAUAAGAUAAUCCGAUACUAUUUUUUGUCCUGGCUCAUCUUCAAUUUUAUUAUAUGUAUAUGUAUUUUUUCUAUAAUUUUCGGUAAUAAUUAUUUAGUGAGCAAGAUGCAUAGACAAAAAAAAUAUGCCAUGGCUUCUCUUCCAACCUUACAAAAAAUGAAAAAAUCAGUCUUACUAAUGUCUACAUCCUCCAUAAAAAACUAUUUUUGAAUUUAAAUCUCGACAUAGUUUACCAAUGUUUUUAUUAUAGAGGGAGUAGUUGUCUACUCUACAGUGACAAGAUUAGAAUAGAUAAACAAAAUCAGACCCUUACACAGGACACAACGCAAUCACUGUCUCACUGGUAUCUACAGUAACAAUGGCUGCAAAGUCAAGUUGCUCAAUGGAAGUGGUGGGGCAAGAUACUAAUACCGACCAUACUGAGAACUCCCUCCGUUUCAGACGUUUUAACUUUGGUCAAAGUUAAUUUUUUAAAAUUUUAACUAAAUUUAUAGACAAGUAAUAUUUAUAAUACUAAAUUAGUUUCAUCAAUAAAUAAUUGAAUAUAUUUUCACAAUAAAUUUAUCUUGACUUAAAAAUGUUACUCCCUUUGUCCCAUAAUAUAAAAACCUAGUAUGGGACGUGACAUUUUCUAGUUCUAUAAAUCUGGACAUGCUGCCUGUCCAGAUUUGUAAUACUAGUAAAUAUUUAAUGUAAUCAUAAGUUCUUAUAUUUUGGGACAGAGAGAGUAUUAUUUUUUUUCAACAAACUUAGUUUUAGUUAAAUUUAAAGUAGUUCUUAUAAGCUGAAACAGAGUGAAUGGAUAAGUAAUGAUGUCCACGUAGUGCAUUGAACGUAGGGAAAGCUAUCCAGUUUCCGGAACAGUACACUGUACAGUUCCCUUCCUCAACGGCGGAGCAGGAUUAUGCAUGAUAGGAGAGGGGGGCCAGUCAAGAAACAAUAAAAACAAAACACACGUAUAAUAUUAAUCACAAGCGAUGGCUUGUAUAGAAAAUUGAGAUACGGUGUCAUUAUAUAUUGACCAUACUUAUUACUUAAACCAUUGCGUUAUCCUCUAUGUACAAGCAAUCAGAUUUCGUCAAAAUUGUCAGGAUCACCUGACCCCGACAUGUUCAUUGCUUGUGCUAGCUGUUGAAUGCUGAUGCUUGCAAGAUGGUCUAAACUCUGAAUUUGUUGAUGGUUUUUAACUAUCAAUUUGAUAUAUUAUGUCACGUUUUGCAAAAUAUCCACAAGUACUGACUGGGUUUCGGACUUUCGGUUAGGUACUUGACGAGCAGGCAUAGGUAUAUUUGUUCCAUUUUAGACCCGGUAAGCUUGUUAAGACGUAUUCCUAUUCCACCGAGACAAUCCAGUUCGUUGCCAUCUCUACUUUAGACCACUUAGUAAAACCAGAUCAUUUAGUAUAUAGAGGAUAUCUAUAUGUUAGAAGGAUAUCCGUGUAGGAUCACCGUUCAUUCCGCAUCCAAUGGCAGCACUGGUUCCUAGCUUCUCUUCAGUCGUUCGGCCUAGCUCAGAGCCAACCAGGGGGAAACGUACGCCGCUACAAGAAACCCCGUCGUUUUGCCGCAGGAUUCUGGGCCAAAUUACGACGGAGGAGAGGGUAGGAAACUAUGAAUUGAUGCUGUCGUUGAAUGCUGGGUAAACAACGAUCCGGCACAGAUAUCCCCUUUGAUGUAGAAAUCCUCUUCAUCAGAAGACCUGGUUCCGAUUGAGUAAAAAUGGGCUCUCACGGUUAACCUUUGCAUAGACCAUAGAAACAUAGCCCUUGUUAAAGUGCCCGUUAAACCUUUGCACAGACCAUAGAACGCAGGCACGCAGCCCAUGAUUCAAACAAAAAAAGUAGAUUAAGUAGAGUAAUUAAGUAUAUCCUUUUGUUCUAGUACAUCGGAGACGGUGUUCAGUUUGGUGACUACAAAUUAAUUAAAGUAGAGUAACGAAAUAUCCACUGAAUGUGCGCCUGUGCGAGUGCGACGAAUGUACCUAACAGUCAAUGCUGUUCCUCUAUAGUUCGUCUGAAACCAGCGAAUUAAUCCGACUAGGCAACAUUGAACUAGUGCUAUCAAAGAUCAGCGCAGCUGCCGUGCGUGGUUCUCUCAUUGGCUGGAUCGAUGUUGAAAUCAGAACCAACGGUUUUGACCGGUUUCUUAAACAGUUAAACCCGUACAUAAAAUCGGCGCCAAUUCAGCUUGUUUUGUGGAACUGUGUGUUUAGUUAUCGGCAAAUAGCACACGCCAAAUUGCCAACUAGCUAGCUAUCUCGACAAAUUAGAGCCUCAUCCAAAACGAUAGGUUGGCGAUGCGUGUCGUCCAAAACUACCUUAGUACGUUACCGUACCUAUAAAUAUGCAUGCAAUGCUCGACGCUUUGCUGCACACACAUCGAUCGCUAAUCCAUCAACCUAUAGCUUAACGAUCACUGCCAUUGCAAUGGCGCGGUGCACUUUGCUCGUUCUCCUCGUGGCGGCGGCGGUGGCGGUCGUCCCGCUCGCCGCCGGCCAGCCGUGGGCUACCUGCGGCGACGGCACGUACGAGCAGGGGAGCGCCUACGAGAACAACCUCCUGAACCUGGCCCUCACCCUCCGCGACGGCGCCUCCUCCCAGGAGAUCCUCUUCUCCACGGGCUCCAACGGCGCCGCCCCGAACACCGUCUACGGCCUCCUCCUCUGCCGCGGCGACAUCUCCCGCGCCGCCUGCUACGACUGCGGCACCAGCGUGUGGAGGGACGCCGGGAGCGCGUGCCGCCGCGCCAAGGACGUCGCCCUCGUCUACAACGAGUGCUACGCCCGCCUCUCCGACAAGGACGACUUCCUCGCCGACAAGGUGGGGCCGGGGCAGCUGACGACCCUCAUGAGCAGCACCAACAUCAGCAGCGGCGCCGACGUCGCCGCCUACGACCGCGCGGUGACGCGGCUGCUGGCGGCCACCGCGGAGUACGCGGCGGGGGACAUCGCGAGGAAGCUGUUCGCGACGGGGCAGCGGGUGGGCGCCGACCCGGGGUUCCCCAACCUGUACGCGACGGCGCAGUGCGCGUUCGACAUCACGCUGGAGGCGUGCCGCGGCUGCCUCGAGGGCCUCGUCGCCAGGUGGUGGGACACGUUCCCGGCGAACGUCGACGGC
rnacentral:lncRNA from 1 species